UACGGGAGGCAGCAGUAGGGAAUCUUCCGCAAUGGACGCAAGUCUGACGGAGCAACGCCGCGUGAGUGAAGAAGGCCUUCGGGUUGUAAAACUCUGUUGCCGGGGAAGAACAAGUGCCGUUCGAACAGGGCGGUACCUUGACGGUACCCGGCCAGAAAGCCACGGCUAACUACGUGCCAGCAGCCGCGGUAAUACGUAGGUGGCAAGCGUUGUCCGGAAUUAUUGGGCGUAAAGCGCGCGCAGGCGGCUUCUUAAGUCUGAUGUGAAAUCUUGCGGCUCAACCGCAAGCGGCCAUUGGAAACUGGGAGGCUUGAGUGCAGAAGAGGAGAGUGGAAUUCCACGUGUAGCGGUGAAAUGCGUAGAGAUGUGGAGGAACACCAGUGGCGAAGGCGGCUCUCUGGUCUGUAACUGACGCUGAGGCGCGAAAGCGUGGGGAGCAAACAGGAUUAGAUACCCUGGUAGUCCACGCCGUAAACGAUGAGUGCUAAGUGUUAGAGGGUUUCCGCCCUUUAGUGCUGCAGCUAACGCAUAAGCACUCCGCCUGGGAGAACGCGCACGGGU
rnacentral:rRNA from 1 species